rnacentral:rRNA from 1 species
CUACGGGAGGCUGCAGUGAGGAAUAUUGCGCAAUGGGCGAGAGCCUGACGCAGCAACGCCGCGUGAGCGAUGAAGCCCUUCGGGGUGUAAAGCUCUGUUAGGAGGAAAGAAUGGGCAGGGUAUAACCCUGUCUUGACGGUACCUCCAGAGGAAGCACCGGCUAACUCCGUGCCAGCAGCCGCGGUAAUACGGAGGGUGCAAGCGUUGUCCGGAUUUAUUGGGAGUAAAGGGUGUGUAGGCGGAACGAUAAGUCGGAAGUGAAAUCUGUACCGCUCAACGGACAGAAGCCUUUCGAUACUGUCGUUCUAGAGUGUAGGAGAGGGUGAUGGAAUUCCUGGUGUAGCGGUGGAAUGCGUAGAUAUCAGGAAGAACACCGGUGGCGAAGGCGGUCAUCUGGCCUAUUACUGACGCUGAAACACGAAAGCGUGGGGAGCAAACAGGGUUAGAUACCCCGGUAGUC